rnacentral:tRNA from 1 species
GCCCUUAUAGCUCAGUUGGGAGAGCGUCAGACUGAAGAUUUGAAGGUCAUUGGUUCGAUCCCGAUUGAGGGCA